GACAAAAGCAAUCACACUAAGUAGCAGAUGUUUAAAUCUGUUUGGACACUUCUGUCAAAUGAUUUUCAGAUCUAGAAUUUAGUAAAUGGUCUGUGAAGUCCACAUGUGAACCAAUGAAGUUAACUGCCCAUCGAGUUUCUCUCCUGAAACUGCCAUAAGCCUCAUUCUAAAAGAAAGAGAACUAAAUGG